AUGAACGCUAGCGACAGGCCUAACACAUGCAAGUCGAGGGGCAGUCGGGGUGUAGCAAUACGCUGCCGGCGACCGGCGGAUGGGUGAGUAACGCGUAUGCAACCUGCCUUCAGCAGGGGGAUAGCCCGUUGAAAGACGGAUUAAUACCCCGUAACACAGGGGCUCCGCAUGGAGAUUAUUGUUAAAGGGAUGCUUCCUUCGGGGAGUAUUCCGGCUGAAGAUGGGCAUGCGUUCCAUUAGGUAGUUGGUUGAGGUAACGGCUCACCAAGCCUGCGAUGGAUAGGGGAACUGAGAGGUUGGUCCCCCACACUGAUACUGAGACACGGACCAGACUCCUACGGGAGGCAGCAGUGAGGAAUCUUGGUCAAUGGACGGAAGUCUGAACCAGCCAUGUCGCGUGAAGGAGGACGGCCCUAAGGGUUGUAAACUUCUUUUGCAGGGGAAUAAAGUAUUCCACGAGAUGGGAUAUUGCAAGUACGCUGCGAAUAAGGAUCGGCUAACUCCGUG
rnacentral:rRNA from 1 species